rnacentral:sRNA from 1 species
UGAAAACAGACUAUAAACUGUAUGCAGC